UGGUUCUGGCAUCGAUGAAGAACGCAGCGAAAUGCGAUAAGUAAUGUGAAUUGCAGAAUUCAGUGAAUCAUCGAAUCUUUGAACGCACAUUGCGCCCCUUGGCAUUCCGAGGGGCAUGCCCGUUCGAGCGUCAUUUCACCAAUCAAGCCCGGCUUGGCAUUGGGUCACGGGGGCGACCCGGACCUCGAUUUCGCCGGCUGGACGACCCCGAUCGCAGCGUUGUGGCAUCAAAUUCGCUGGCGGGAUGGGCGUCUGCGCCGUGAAACCCCCAUCAAAGGUUGACCUCGGAUCGGGUAGGGAUACCCGCUGA
rnacentral:misc_RNA from 1 species